rnacentral:rRNA from 1 species
UGAGGAAUAUUGCCCAAUGGGGGAAACCCUGAGGCAGCAACGCCGCGUGAACGAAGACGGCCUUCGGGUUGUAAAGUUCUUUUCUGGGGGACGAUGAUGACGGUACCCCAGGAAUAAGUUCCGGCUAACUACGUGCCAGCAGCCGCGGUAAAACGUAGGGGACAAGCGUUAUACGGAUUUACUGGGCGUAAAGCGCACGUAGGCGGUGAGGUAAGUUGGCCGUGAAAGAUCCCGGUUUAACUGGGAGAGGUCGGACAAAACUGCCCCACUUGAGGCUGAGAGAGGAGAGCGGAAUUCCCGGUGUAGUGGUGGAAUGCGUAGAUAUCGGGAGGAACACCAGAGGCGAAGGCGGCUCUCUGGCUCAGAACUGACGCUGAGGUGCGAAAGCGUGGG